UGAUACCAUAUCAGGUCGUGUUCAAAAUAAAAAAUAAAAAAUACAUAAAAGAAAAAGAUAAAUAACGCUUGUGAAAAAAACUCUUAAGUGAAUUACUUUUAAAAAGUUGACUGCAACGCAUAGUACUGCCCAAUCUCACGGGUGACACUGAGAACAACUACCAUGCGCUAGAAUGUCAUCACCAAAUUAACAUAUGAGAAGAAGAAAGGAUAUUAAUAUAAUGGGAUAAAUAUGUUAGUUUUUUUUUUUUUUUCGCGGUUUUGAUUUUAGUCCUUUUUGAAAGCAACAUACAUUUUAGUAUUUUUUUUUUUUAAAAUUUUGAUUUUAGUCUUUUAAAGUUAACACUGUCAAAAAUCAGUUGUUAAAGCUAGACUCACAAGGUUUUUUCAGUCAGUGUUUUUCAGCUUUUCUCCCUCUUGCCCUCAUCUCUUCCUUUCAUUUUCUACCUAACGCCAACCACUACGAUCCACACCAGCACUUUCAUUGGUGCCACUCAGAUUUCUAACAACAACCAUCAGGGAACUUCAAAUUCCAAAUCGUGCAAUCAACACCAACUCCAAAUCGAAAACUUCACAAUCUCUAAUCGCAAAAUCAAAACAAAAUCAAAACCCCAAUUCCAAUCAAUGAAAAAAAUCUAAUUACAUUAGAAAUCCCAAAUUUCUCAAUUUCAGCAAACCAUAAACUUCUUAAUCGAAACUCUGAUCCCAAUUAGAGAAAACCAAACUUGCAGAGAAGAUAAAGACCAACACCAACACGAAACAACAACCCAAAACUUUGGUGAGCACUCAAAACCCUAAAACGCAAAAUCGGAAGAGGAGGAGAAGAAGAAUAAAACCUCUGUCUUUGGCCGCGAAAAGCUGCCACCGCAACACACACCGCCACAAAGGAAAACACCGUGACCUCAAUGCGCCUCUACCGCGCAGUCAUCACCCCCCGCCGACAUCGCCAUGCCAGCGAUGAUUCCAUCCAGGUUGGUUGCCUGCAAAAAAGAAAGGAGGAAGAGACGAGGGAAAGAGGGAGAAAAAGCUGAGAAACACUAACUAAAAAAAAUGUGUCAGUUUACUAUUAGCCAUUU
rnacentral:lncRNA from 1 species